rnacentral:rRNA from 1 species
AGUGAACGCUGGCGGUAGGCCUAACACAUGCAAGUCGAACGGCAGCACAGUAAGAGCUUGCUCUUACGGGUGGCGAGUGGCGGACGGGUGAGGAAUACAUCGGAAUCUACUUUUUCGUGGGGGAUAACGUAGGGAAACUUACGCUAAUACCGCAUACGACCUACGGGUGAAAGCAGGGGAUCUUCGGACCUUGCGCGAUUGGAUGAGCCGAUGUCGGAUUAGCUAGUUGGCGGGGUAAAGGCCCACCAAGGCGACGAUCCGUAGCUGAUCUGAGAGGAUGAUCAGCCACACUGGAACUGAGACACGGUCCAGACUCCUACGGGAGGCAGCAGUGGGGAAUAUUGGACAAAGGGCGCAAGCCUGAUCCAGCCAUACCGCGUGGGUGAAGAAGGCCUUCGGGUUGUAAAGCCCUUUUGUUGGGAAAGAAAAGCAGCAGGUUAAUACCCCGCUGUUCUGACGGUACCCAAAGAAUAAGCACCGGCUAACUUCGUG